rnacentral:rRNA from 1 species
GACAGAGGGUGCAAACGUUGUUCGGAAUUACUGGGCGUAAAGCGUGUGUAGGCUGCUACAUAAGUCGGAUGUGAAAGCCCCGGGCUCAACCCGGGAAGUGCACUCGAUACUGCGUAGCUUGAGUCUCGGAGAGGUUGGUGGAAUUCUCGGUGUAGAGGUGAAAUUCGUAGAUAUCGAGAGGAACACCGGUGGCGAAGGCGGCCAACUGGACGAAGACUGACGCUGAGACACGAAAGCGUGGGGAGCGAACAGG